rnacentral:misc_RNA from 1 species
UCCGGUUUAUCACCGGCGGUCCUUCUAGAGUGCUUCCUUACGGAGAGCAACUAGAAGCAAGGGUUGCGCUCGUUGCGGGACUUAACCCAACAUCUCACGACACGAGCUGACGACAGCCAUGCAGCACCUCUACAACUGUCUAUUGCUAGCCAUUUUCAUCUCUGAAAAUCUCAGUUGCAGUUCAAACCCAGGUAAGGUUCUUCGCGUUGCAUCGAAUUGAACCACAUGCUCCACCGCUUGUGCGGGCCCCCGUCAAUUCCUUUGAGUUUCAGACUUGCGACCGUACUCCCCAGGCGGUGCACUUAUCGCGUUAACUUCGGCACAAACCGAAAACCGGCUUACACCAAGUGCACAUUGUUUACGGCUAGGACUAC